rnacentral:rRNA from 1 species
UACGAAGGGGGCUAGCGUUGCUCGGAAUUACUGGGCGUAAAGCGCACGUAGGCGGCUUGUUAAGUCAGGGGUGAAAUCCCGGGGCUCAACCCCGGAACUGCCUUUGAUACUGGUAGUCUCGAGUCCGGAAGAGGUGAGUGGAAUUCCGAGUGUAGAGGUGAAAUUCGUAGAUAUUCGGAGGAACACCAGUGGCGAAGGCGGCUCACUGGUCCGGUACUGACGCUGAGGUGCGAAAGCGUGGGGAGCAAACAGG